UACGUAGGGGGCUAGCGUUGUCCGGAAUCAUUGGGCGUAAAGCGCGCGUAGGCGGCCAGAUAAGUCCGGUGUGAAAGUCACAGGCUCAACCCUUGAAAGCCGGUUGAUACUGUCGGGCUAGAGUCCGGAAGAGGCGAGUGGAAUUCCCGGUGUAGCGGUGAAAUGCGCAGAUAUCGGGAAGAACACCCGUGGCGAAGGCGGUUCUCUGGGACGGUACUGACGCUGAGACGCGAAAGCGUGGGGAGCGAACAGG
rnacentral:rRNA from 1 species